CAUUUCCCUGAUCAAGAAAGAAGAGCAAAAGGUUAAACAUGAACCUGCAAACUUCCUUUAUUUCCAAGAUGAUCCUCUUUUCCAUUCAGUGCUUGUGUUGAAAAUUGAACUACCCAGAAAUGGAGAUAUGAAGGGUCUCAAGGACACACAGAAACAAGCAAAGGCCACAAGGGAUCCCAGGUCCGUCUCCUGUGCAUCCCAAAUUGGACCUCUGCUGCCACCACAUUUCCUACAUCUCUCAAAGGAACCCCAAAUUCCCAAAGACGUUGCCUUCCUGCCUGGCAAAUUCAACACCCCAUUUAGGCAUGCUGAGAUGUCCACAGAACUGGUCUCGCCUGGACUAAGUCCCCGUUGGGCUGUUCACUCCCUUGGUUGAGCCACAGGACGGCAUGCAAAUUCACAGGCACAGAUCAGUCGGGAAACCCUCCUUCCUGCCCAGCCCUUUCCACCCUGUCCAUUUCCGCCUCUAUUUCCUGCCCUCUGUUGUGGGGAAAGGCUUUUCAGCAGGUGAAGGCUUGGUUCUGGUCUUUGGCUGGGUUCUGUGGUCUUUGGAUACAGGUGAACUACAACUCCCAAAAUCAAGGCCCAUUCCCACAAAUCCUUGUAGUAUGUUCAGUUGGUCAUGAGGCUUCUCUGUGCAAAGUGUGGUCCUGGUCCAUUGUCAGUGGGGGUCACUUUUUCUCUGGAUGCAGGUGAACUACAAGUCCCUUUUCCCCAAACUAGUCCAAUAUGUUUAUUAGUUAUGGGGGCUCUGUGUGCCAAGUGUGGUCCUGGUCUAUCAUUUGUGGGGUUUGAUUGCAGGUGAACUAUAAAUCCCAGUACCUACUACUCCUAUCCAGGCCAAUUUCCCUCCAAACCCACCAGUAUUCAAAUCUGGGCAUCUUGGGGAUGCAUGGCAAGUUUGGCCCAGAGCCAUCUUUGUUUGGGUUCAUAGCAUUCUGGGUGUAGGAGAACUACAACUCCUUCCCCAUGUAAGCCGCCCCGAGUCCCUCCGGGGAGAUGGGGCAGGAUAUAAGAAUAAAAUUAUUAUUAUUAUUAUUAUUCCCCAGUAGGAGUCACAGCAGUGCUCUGAUUUGAUGCAGGGUGAACUACAACUUCCACCCUGUGCAGUCAAUCCCCAAACUCCUCCAGUAAGUUUAGUUUCUGCUCAGUUCUGCUGUGUUUGUUAUGCAGACAGAUUUGAAAGGGAAGGGCAGUAGGCGGGGUCAUGCAAAUUCCACAGCAAUGGAGAACCCUGGGAUGCCUGCCUGUGGUGGAAGAAAAAGCAAAAUCUAGGAUGAAAUGGUCACCAAACGAAAGCAUUCCUUGGGUGGUGGGCCGUAGUGUUUGGGAAGGACAUUGGCAGGGGUUGGGCUGCAUGUUCAUUGAGCUCGCUGUAGCCAAAAUGUCAGCGGAAAAGAGUGACUUGCUAGAUUUUUAACCAUGGGAACUAUAGCCUGUUUGUGGAGGUUGGAGGCUGUCUGUGUGAGCAGGCAUCCAUGCCACAUACACACAUACGGGUUUUCGCUUUUAUUAUGGAUUUAGAUUAGAUUAGAUUAGAUUUAGAUUAGAUAGAUUAGAUUAGAUUAGAUAGAUUUAGAUUAAUAGAUACAGAUGUUACCUUAUAAUAAUUUGGACCAAAAUUUUUUUAAAAUGGCAAAUUAUAUUAAACAUGGACUGUAAUGGGAAUAGAGUCAGAAUAAAUAAAAACUAAAUGGUAUAAACCACAAAAAUAAGGCAGGUUAGGUCUCCCAAAUAUUAAAGUAUAUGAUCAUGCCAACCAAAUAAUAAGGUACGUAGUCGAAGGAUUAGCGAAGCAAGGAAAACUGGAAGGGCCAGAAGAGGGGUUCUCAACCCGGGGUCCCUCCCCAGGUGUGUUUGGCCUACAACUCCCAGAAAUCCCAGCCAGUUCAGUUUACCAGCUGUUAGGGUUUCUGGGACUGGAAGGCCAAAAACAUCUGGUGAGGGACCCCAGGUUGAGAACCACUGGGCUAGAAGAAGAGGAUAAGAAAUUAGAAGUAUAUUUUGAUAGAAAAUAAAGGAAAGUCUAAAAGGAAUUGGUAUAAUGAACAGAGUAACCCCCUUACAUAAAUAUAAACUUUAUAUCUAAACUUUUUCCCAUGCCAUACUGUUGCCCUUGACCCGCCUGGCACCUGCUAGUUGGCCACCCCAACGUGGAACCCUUGAUCCCUGUAUCCUGUCCCGCCGAUGGAGUAUUUUGUCAUUGGUUCCUAAGCCUGUGGUUAAUUGAUUGAUUUGUAUGUUUAGCACACUUAUGCUCAUUAUCGUAUUAUGUUUUGUUGUUGUCUGGUUUCAUUGUUGGAGAUAGGGUGGUAUAUAAAUAAAGUUUUAGUAUUGUUACUAUUAUUUAUUUGUACCCCGCCACUGUAAUAAGAUAAAAUGAAAUAUGAAUAUAUGGUAUCAAUGGAAGAGAUGAAUGAAUGAGAGCUAAUAAUUUUGGAGACACCAUUCUAAAAUAUUAAGGCCUACAAUGACUAACUACCUGCUUGCUGAAUAGUAAUUAAAACCAGCUAAUGAUAACUGAAAUAGUUGACCUGUCUGGUAAACUCGGUUAAGAACUGCGACAGUGAGAAGAGAAAUGUUUACAUCUGUUUACAUCUGUCAAUAUUUGCUGAUUUGAUGAACUUUGGGGCAGAGACAAUGGUUUUUUAAGUUAAGGAAAUGUUUACAACUGUUGAGAAGGAAGUCAACACAAGGCCAACACUAAUCAAGAAGAGUCAACAUCUGGUCCAGGAAACGGAGAUGGAGCCAGGAUGUUCCGGGAUGGAAGACGUCUAUCAUUCAUUUACAACUUUGGGACAACAUCAGAAAAAUAUUGUUAUAUAAGUGUCUAUGUUUUUACUGUGUCUUGUUUAAAUUUUAUUGUUUUUUUCUAAUGUGGAAUUUUUUAUUAUAAUGAGUAUGUUAUUGUCAUUUUAUACUUUUGAUAUUAGUGAUGUAGUUGGGGUACUGAAUGUUUGCCGUCUAUAUGUAUGUUAACCGCCCCGAGUCCCUCUGGGGAGAGAGGGCGGUCUAGAAAUAAAUUAUUAUUAUUAUUAUUAUUAUUAUUAUUAUUAUUAUUAUUAUUAUUAUUAUUUAUGAUGAUCCAGAAAUUGUGACAAACAGAGAUGCUGUUUGUCCACCAUGCUCAGUGGAGAUGAUGCAUGGGAAAGUGGCAGAUUUGCAUGGAAGCGGUCUUGUCACUGGGCCUCCUUUUCUCAAGGGAAGAGGAAGGAGUGCAUUUCGGAGUCAUGAUACGGGUUGCAGGGAGACAGUUGUGUCUGAUACUUGGCAUUGUUCGUAGGAAAAAAGGAUGCAUUUUGACGUUUUGGAACUAUGCUGCAGAGGAAGCAGGGCCUGGCCUAAGCAGGUGCUUCUCCAAGGAGGGAGAAAGGAUAUGGUAAUAUCUGGAUGGAUGCACGAGGAUGAAUACAUGGAGAUGUGUGUGAAUGCUGAGUGAAAAUGUAACCCCCCCCCCCCGCUUUGUCUGUUGUAGGUUGUUUAUCAAGCCAAUGUGGUUACAUAAAAUCUGUAUGUCUAAUGUCACUCUUUGUUGUUUGUGUAAACGUUCUGAUACCUCUCACACUGAAAUUGCAAUAAAAAGAACCUAUGCUUUAAAA